UAGCUAUUGUCAUUUUCUGCAGAGGCCACCAAAUGGAGAUAAUGAUGUGGUUGUCUUCCGGCUCAAAUGCUGGGAACAGCCAGGAGAACUUUGCUGGGCUUCACCCCUCUGUACUGUGGCUCCAGCAAACCAGAGAGGUGAGGCUGCCAGACCCAACCGGAAGUGGAAAUCCUGUUUCCUGUAGGCAUUUUUGAAACCCUGCUUUUUGGAUCUGUAGCAAAUCCAGUGCAGGCAACAUUAUGUGGAAAUAGAAACAGGGCUCCUGCUAGGAGAUUGACAUUCUGGCUUUCCUUUGGAACCCCUCACUGACUCAUCGCCCCUGAAGCAGGAGCCAGCAGGUCCCAAGGCUCCCCUGCUCCUGUCCCUGCCCCAGGGCGAGGGACAGGCUGGUCCAGUGGCUUUGGUGAGGGCGCCUCCAUUUGUGAACGCUGGGAUUCCUCUGGGUGGGCUUUGGCAGGUGGCUCCUAUGGUAGGAAGGAUGACCAGGUCCCUGGGAAUGAGCUGCCUACCUGCUGCUCCACGAGGAAGCUCAGGCCUGCACAGGCUCCACCAGGCCUUGGAUGCCCUCUAGUUGAGUCAGAGACCCUGGAAACACACUGAGAUCUCCAAUUGCUGCCUCCAUUGAUGUCUCUAGACCUGCAGAUACGAAGCAAACCUGGGAUUGCUUCUUCCAGGUAUGGGCACCAGAGAGGGAAGCCACUGCAACAUUUUAUCCCCAUCAUUCCAAAAUGCUUGCUUGUCUCUUUUACCUCACACUCACAACUCCUUCUGAGACUCUCAGUCAUAAAGGAAUGACCAAGAGAGUGGGUCUCCAGUGAGAGAAAUGCCUAUGAAAGAGGGUUUCCCUUUUUGCUCUUUUGAACACCCUCCCCACUGAUCCUUGGGACCCAACGCCGCAUUGCCUCUUGCAGAUGAGGUUUUGCCUUGGGCUGCUUUGGUACUUCAGACCAGGACUGAGUCUGACACAGCUUUCAUGAGGUUACAGAAAAGGGCUACAGAUUUGGGAAGCUGUGUGUAAUGGUCUUGAGACAAUAUCUCCAUUUGGCCCACCCUGGCUUCUCUAAAAAGCAACGACAGCAACAGACAAACAAAAAGCUCCCACCUCCCACCCCGUUAGCUGUCCUCCUCCUUCACUGUGAUGUGGUUGCGGUCUCUGUAGGUGUGUGUGCCACCCUUGUCCUCUGUCCUCUGGGGAUGUGCCCUUCCCACGUGUGUCAGGUUCCCACUCUUUCGUGGUUCCUAACGUGAAGUGCUGUGAUGUUUCUGCCCUGCCUAAGGAACGUAUCAAGCUCUCUCAGUGUUUCAGUGUUGGAGAUUGAGGCUGUGCCACAUCUUCUGCCAUCCUAAGGGGACAUGAUGGUUCUGUGAUUCCCAGAGAGCUGGCAGAUUGUGACAAUCUCCAGGAGAACCUACAGAUUGGAAGCAGCCCACACCUGAUGUGGACUCCUGACCCGGGACUCACUCUUCAUUCAGAAGACUGGUGGCCCACGUGCCAGGACCACCCCACCUCUCUUGCUGCCUUUUCUCCUGUCCUGAUGGGGUUCUGGGAGGGAGACCUGUCGCUGAUGAGAUGAAGAAUGUGGGGAUCGAGCAGCCUUCUUCUUUGGGACCCCUCGAUAUCCCAUGGAAUGCUCGCACGUUCUCAAAGACUGAGUCACAAGCCCCUACCCCUUCCUUGCUGUGGUUAGUAUCUUGUUCUGUGAUUGGUUAGCAAUGUUGACUACCCACGUAGUGAAUCUUUUGUCUGCAAUUUAGAGAAUGUGUAAACAAAUAAAAGGCUUUAAAA
rnacentral:lncRNA from 1 species